rnacentral:lncRNA from 1 species
ACGUUUUUGUUUUUUUUUUUACGAGUGAAAGGGAUGGGAAAGAAGAUAUUUCGGAGCGGGAAAAUUUAAUAUAUUUUACUUUUGAAUUUUUUUUCUUUUUUUCUCUCUUAAAUGAAGCUUCGCACUUAUUAGAGUCCAUGGAGUUGUCAUCUACCCUUAUAAUUAACCAUAAUUAAUAUUUUGAUCUUUAUAUUUUAAAAAAUAAUAUUAUGAUCUAUAUAAAAAUAAAAUAUUUAAUCUAAAUUCUCGUUAUUUUUU